rnacentral:rRNA from 1 species
AUUGAACGCUGGCGGCAGGCCUAACACAUGCAAGUCGAGCGGAGCGGCGGACGGGUGAGUAAUGCCUAGGAAUCUGCCUGGUAGUGUGGGAUAACGUCCGGAAACGGGCGCUAAUACCGCAUACUAUCAGAUUAGCCUAGGUCGGAUUAGGUGGUUGGUGGGGUAAAGGCCUACCAGGGCGACGACCCGUAACUGGUCUGAGAGGAUGAUCAGUAACACUGGAACUGGGAAACGGUCCGUAUUCUUACGGGAGGAGGCAGUGGGGAAUAUUGGACAAGGGGGGAAAGCCUAAUCCAGCAAUGCCGCGUGGGUGAAGAAGGUCUUCGGAUUGUAAAGCACUUUAAGUUGGGAGGCGUUACCAACAGAAUAAGCACCGGCUAACUACGUGCCAGCAGCCGCGGUAAUUC